AUUGAACGCUGGCGGCAGGCUUAACACAUGCAAGUCGAACGAGUGGCGGACGGGUGAGUAACAUUUAGGAAUCUGCCUAGAGUGGGGGAUAGCUCGGGGAAACUCGAAUUAAUACCGCAUAAGAUGAGCCUAAAUCAGAUUAGCUAGUUGGUGGGGUAAAGGCCCACCAAGGCGACGAUCUGUAACUGGUCUGAGAGGAUGAUCAGUCACACCGGAACUGAGACACGGUCCGGACUCCUACGGGAGGCAGCAGUGGGGAAUAUUGGACAAUGGGGGCAACCCUGAUCCAGCCAUGCCGCGUGUGUGAAGAAGGCCUUUUGGUUGUAAAGCACUUUAAGCAGGGAAGACGUUACCUGCAGAAUAAGCACCGGCUAACUCUGUGCCAGCAGCCGCGGUAAUACAGAGGGUGCGAGCGUUAAUCGGAAUUACUGGGCGUAAAGCGAGUGUAGGUGGCUCAUUAAGUCACAUGUGAAAUCCCCGGGCUUAACCUGGGAACUGCAUGUGAUACUGUGGUGCUAGAAUAUGUGAGAGGGAAGUAGAAUUCCAGGUGUAGCGGUGAAAUGCGUAGAGAUCUGGAGGAAUACCGAUGGCGAAGGCAGCUUCCUGGCAUAAUAUUGACACUGAGAUUCGAAAGCGUGGGUAGCAAACAGGAUUAGAUACCCUGGUAGUCCACGCCGUAAACGAUGUCUACUAGCCGUUGGUGGCGCAGUUAACGCGAUAAGUA
rnacentral:rRNA from 1 species